CAAUUAACAUCUUCAACUUGUAGUCUUUUAUUAAGAAUCGCGAUGGUCGGGAGGGCUUUAGACAAUAUACACCAUUAAAAAAUCUUAUGCCUCUCUAAAAUUUUACUAUUCUAGAGUUUAUUCCACAUGGACGGGGCAACCUCACACAGUGGAGCUCUAUGUAAAGCUUGAACUAUUGGGAUUUUAUGCCCUAAAUAAAACUCAUUUUAAUAUAAUCUUAUUUGUUAUUAAUAGAAGAUUAGAAGUCAUUUAUUUUUACAUGUAUUAUUUAUGUUUAUGGUUUAAUAUACAAUUUUUGCUAAAUUCAGAAUAUAUUAUAAUUCACAAUUACAGUAAUCACAACACAAUGGAAGGUAAUUGUGAUUAUAUGCUUCAAAAGUUUAUGUCCCAUGAUUCAUCAGUGCACUAGAUUUACACCAAUGUAAUAAUCAGCGAUAAAGUUUUACUUACACCUUGGAUAAGUGUUAUGUUCUUUCCAGGACAUUGUCAAAGUAUGCUAGUAUCAGAUGUAUGGAGUAUACAUUGGACUGGGACCGAUAUUGAUCUUAGUAAAGAUAUUAUAAUCUUACCGUUAUAUCUUUUUAAGUCAAUAUCACUGGUUGAUCUUAAAUCAAAAGAUAUUAAUCUUGAUAUGGUUAAAUUUGAUCUCAAGAGUGUUAUUUAUGUUCUUAGAGUUGUUCGUUAAAGCCUACCAAUUGGUUCAGGUAACACAUACAUCUUGGGAACAUGAUGGUAUAAUUGAGUGCGAAUGCUAAUCAUAUAUACGAAAUCUAUAGCUUCUAUCUAGACAUAGAAGUGAAAUGAUGAUUUCUUUCGAGCUUGACUUAAUAGAGAAAAAUAAAAGAGCUCUUAUUUCAAUAAUUAUAUUAGUUUACUGAAGUAUCAUUUAUAGGAAGUUAAGUAUUUUAAGAAUAAAAUACAUUGAGGGGUGGAACGGUAAAUUUGUCCUUACUUGAUGUAAAUCAUUUAUAGAGGAUCUUUGAUUAUUGGGAUUAAAACGAUAGAAAAUUCAUAACGUAUCUAUAUCGUGGAACAUAGAGAGUGUUCUAUAUAAUUAAGAGUGUAAUUCUUUAUCUAUAGUGGCACAAGGAGAAAUUAAUAAGUUGGAGAAUUUACUUGGUAAAUUCUAGAUGGAAUUUUUACACAAAAUGACUAUUUUGACCAAUUUUUAACAUUUAUAUUAUCCUUUCUAAUUUUUAACAUUUUUACUUUUUAAAAUUUUCUUUAAUACUUUUUUAAAGUUUUAUAAUUACAUAUUUAUCUUUUGUUCUUCUUCCUCAUAUCUAAACUCAUUCAAAUCUGGGUUCAACAAGUCUUCUCUUACUCUCUCAUCAAGCUUAUCGAGCUUUCACACUCGUCUUCGCACAAUCACCAUAUGUAGCUUCUCGUCAUCAGCCUCUUCUCAAGCCACCAUUGUCGUUCAAUCGAUGUUUGUAAGGUCUUCUUCUUCUUCUUCUUCUUCUUCUUCUUCUCAUUUUGCUAAAAUUACAAAAAUAAAAGUUUAGAUUUGAUAGUUUUUAUAAGAGUUUGUUGUUUAUUUGCUUAUUUAUUAUUGAUUUUUCUAUUUUUCUUACAGAUUUUAGGAAUUUUGUUCUUAUUCUGUUAGUUGAGUUCUUAUAUAUAUACAUAUAAAAGUACACUUGCUAGGUGUUUGAUGAAAUGCCCAAGAGAAUUCUUUACUAGCUUAAAGGAAUAAGGCACAUUCAAAUGUAAUUUUAUUUCAACUUUAAGUUAGCAUUUUCAUGGUAUUGUUUAGAUAUUACUUUUGCUGAUCUAUAUUUUAUCUUUUUUAUGAAUAAAAAAUUUUAUCUAAAUAUUUUAAUGGUUACGUUGAUUUAACGCGACUCUUCAUCGCGUUGACCGACGUGAAUAGUACCAUAUUAAAGAUAUUCGUCGUUUGUAAAAUGACACAAAUAAUAAAUGAUUUGCGUCGGUUGUAUAUCCCUCACAAAUUAGAUAACUGACGAAAAAAGUAUAAUGAUUAAAAAAAAUACAUAAUUAGCGUCAUUUUACAAGCCUCACAAAUUCUUUGUGUGUCGUUUUUAAACCGACGGUAAAGGAUUUGCUUAAGUGAGAAAAUGACGGAAACCCUCUUAGGUUCACUUACCCCCAAAUUUCUUACAGACCAAAAUCAUUCCUUCAUUCUGCGUGAACCCAUUUUGGUCAGCCGCCUCAGCUCCGAAGGUCACGCAAUUUUGCAGACAAAAUUUUUCUCCUCAGCUCACGCAAUUAUGCUCUACUGUGCCUCAGAUUUUUCCUCCGUCGGCGUCGUAAGUCCCCUACGUUCACGCUGUUGUGGUCUCGAUCUCCUUGACCUCCAAUGCAUUGCAUAAAAUGUUGAUUUUGGAAGUUUGGAACCAUGAGUAUUUUGUAAAGUUCACAAUUUUCUGUAGGUUAAAGUACCUGGGGGCGAGGGAAGCCAUCCAUAAUUGUUGACAUUGAUAAGGAUGAAGGUCUAAGUUCGAUGCUGCAAAAUUGAGAAAACUCAGACCGAAUUUCAAGUAGAGCAGGGGCUCUGUUACAGCUGGCAAUGCUUCUAUCAUAAGUGAUGGUGCGGCUGCAUUAGUCCUAGUGAGUGGAGAGAAAGCACUUCAACUUGGAUUGUAAGUAAUUGCAAAGAUUAAGAGAUUUGCUAAUGUAGCUUAGGCACUUGAAUUCUUCACAAUUGCUCCAGCCCUUGUGAUUCCAAAAUCCAUUUUAAAUGCUGGUUUAGAUGCUUCUCAGAUUGAUUACUAUGAAAUAAGCAUUUUUUUGUUAUAGCUCUAGCCAAUCAAAAGCUGCUUGGUUGUAAUCCUAAUGCCUUAAUGUACAUGGUGGGGCUGUAUCAUUGGGACACUCACUUGGAUACAGUGGAGCUAGUAUCUUGGUCACAUUGUUAGAGGUACUGAGACAUUAAAAUGUAAAGUACGGGGUUGGUGCCAUAUGCAAUGGUGGUGGGGGAGCUUCUUCACUUGUUCUUGAGCUCAUAAUUCAUUGCUAUUAAACUGUUGGACAGGUGAUGUUGGGUGUUGAUCGUCUUGACAUGAUCAAAGGAAUCCCACAGAAGAUUUUGGCUUUCGAAAAGUUCCUAGAGGAGAAUCCAAGCUGGCGUGAUAAAGUAGUUCUACUUCAAAUUGUUGUGCCAACAAGAACAGAUGUUCCAGAAUGUAUGUUCAUUAUCAAAAUAUGUUCUUACCCACUGUCUGUUAUGCCUAUUUUUUUUUUAAGUCUAUCUGUAGUUUGUUGUCUAAUGUUAUUUCAAUCAUAUGACUAUCAUUAAAUUUAUAUCAUCUCGAUCAAUUUAUAAAUAAUAGAGUUGUUUAUUAUUGUAUAAUACAGAUCAAAUACACACACAAUGUUAUUGGUAUUGUGUGAUUAGUUAAUAUAAUCGAUUGCUAAUUUUAUGUAAGUUUUAAAAAUUAACUUUUUUUUUUGGUAUUAUGUAUUUACUAUUAUAAAGAAUAAUUCUAAAAUUUGAUAAUGUAGGUGCAAAAAAUUGUAUGAAAAAUUUGCAAUUUUUCUUUAUUUAUAUUUGUGCUUCAUUUUAUAAGCGACGCAAUACGUAAAAAAACAAAAUAUUUUCGUAAUAGAUAUGACAUUUUUAAACCGACGUAAUAAGUUUUUUGUGACAGUUUUAAAAUGUCAUAAACAAUUUAGCGUUAUUUCUAAACCGACGCAGAAAAUAAAAUAGAAAAGAAAAUAUUUUGCGUCGGUUUGUAAAUGUAGAAAAUUGUUUUUUGCGUCGUUUCAAAAAUGACGCUAAUAAAAAACUAUUUGCGACUACGGUAUAUACGUCGGUUUUUUAAACCGACGUAAAUUCAUUAAAUGACACUUAAAAACCGACGAGAAUCAUACUUUUUGUAGUAGUGUAUAUUUUAUCUUUUUUAUGAAUAAAAAUUUUUAUCUAAAUAUUUUAAUGGUUACGUUGAUUUAACGUUGUUUAUAAGUUGUUUCAUAGUUGUUUCAUCUUUUAAUUUUUUUUAUUGUUGCUGUUUCACCAAGUCAUACAUUGAAGAGGCUUUUCAGGGAAAAAUGUGAGGUAAUGAUGAUAAGGUUACAACUUUAAAGAUUAAUGUAUUAGUUUUUGUUGUCUUUAUCUAGUUUCAAAGACUUGUUUUGUUAUGUUUAUAUUUUUUUUUCUGAUGUAUUUAGUUAACCUUAAAUGGUUUAUGUCUCUCAUUUUUUUCUGUUUCUAAUUAGUUAUUUUUUAGUUUUAAUUUAGUUAUUAUACGAUUCUUAUUCUAAGGUUCUUAAGUUUUUUUUAAAAAACUAGAUCAUUAGGCUACGUCUUACAUUUAUCAAUUGUAUUUGAAUUUGAAUUGGAAUUAUUUUAGUUGCAUGUUUAUUAAAUUUUAUAAAUUACAUUAUUUUUUAGUUGUUAUAUUGUUGUUUUAAUGUUGUUCGGUACAUGAUAUAUUGUAGUAUUAUAUAGCUAUUAAUCGUAUUUUUAUUGGUUCAUUGUUUUAUUAAUUUUGUCAUCCUAAUAUAUUUAGGUGCAUGAUAAGACCUCUGACGUUGUUGACAAGUUGAAGCUUUCAAAGAAAAAUAUUGUCAAGGACUUGAUUUCUAGUGAUGAUGAACUUCAAAGUUGAUCAGAAUAAACUUGUUGUUCAUUUCUAUUCCUUUGGUAGAAUGAAGUGAGUUGCAAACAUUGAAAGUGUACAAGAAAAUGUUUCAAAGUCUUUUAAGAAAGUUGAAGCCACUAUACAUGAAUUAAUGAUUGAGCAGUGUAUUUGGAGUUAUUUUAUGAUGCUAUUUAAAUAUUCUGUUACAGUGGAGUUAUUAUAUAUUUAUUUAUUUAUUGUUA